rnacentral:rRNA from 1 species
GAUGAACGCUGGCGGCGUGCCUAAUACAUGCAAGUCGAGCGAACGGACGAGAAGCUUGCUUCUCUGAUGUUAGCGGCGGACGGGUGAGUAACACGUGGAUAACCUACCUAUAAGACUGGGAUAACUUCGGGAAACCGGAGCUAAUACCGGAUAAUAUUUUGAACCGCAUGGUUCAAAAGUGAAAGACGGUCUUGCUGUCACUUAUAGAUGGAUCCGCGCUGCAUUAGCUAGUUGGUAAGGUAACGGCUUACCAAGGCAACGAUGCAUAGCCGACCUGAGAGGGUGAUCGGCCACACUGGAACUGAGACACGGUCCAGACUCCUACGGGAGGCAGCAGUAGGGAAUCUUCCGCAAUGGGCGAAAGCCUGACGGAGCAACGCCGCGUGAGUGAUGAAGGUCUUCGGAUCGUAAAACUCUGAUAUUAGGGAAGAACAUAUGUGUAAGUAACUGUGCACAUCUUGACGGUACCUAAUCAGAAGGCCACGGCUAACUACGUG